GACGUAGGGCGCGAGCGUUGUCCGGAUUUAUUGGGCGUAAAGAGCUCGUAGGCGGCUUGUCGCGUCGUCUGUGAAAUCCCGUGGCUCAACUGCGGGCUGGCAGUCGAUACGGGCAGGCUGGAGUUCGGUAGGGGAGACUGGAAUUCCUGGUGUAGCGGUGAAAUGCGCAGAUAUCAGGAGGAACACCGGUGGCGAAGGCGGAUCUCUGGGCCUUACCUGGCGCUGAGGCGCGAAAGCUAGGGGAGCGAACAGG
rnacentral:rRNA from 1 species